GAUGAACGCUGGCGGCGUGCCUAAUACAUGCAAGUCGAGCGAACGGACGAGAAGCUUGCUUCUCUGAUGUUAGCGGCGGACGGGUGAGUAACACGUGGAUAACCUACCUAUAAGACUGGGAUAACUUCGGGAAACCGGAGCUAAUACCGGAUGAUAUUUUGAACCGCAUGGUUCAAAAGUGAAAGACGGUCUUGCUGUCACUUAUAGAUGGAUCCGCGCUGCAUUAGCUAGUUGGUAAGGUAACGGCUUACCAAGGCAACGAUGCAUAGCCGACCUGAGAGGGUGAGCGGCCACACUGGAACUGAGACACGGUCCAGACUCCUACGGGAGGCAGCAGUAGGGAAUCUUCCGCAAUGGGCGAAAGCCUGACGGAGCCACGCCGCGUGAGUGAUGAAGGUCUUCGGAUCGUAAAACUCUGUUAUUAGGGAAGAACAUAUGUGUAAGUAACUGUGCACAUCUUGACGGUACCUAAUCAGAAAGCCAUGGCUAACUACGUG
rnacentral:rRNA from 1 species